rnacentral:snRNA from 1 species
AAUUUGGGCCUGAUUUGUAUC